AUUGAACGCUGGCGGCAGGCCUAACACAUGCAAGUCGAACGGUAGCACAGAGAGCUUGCUCUCGGGUGACGAGUGGCGGACGGGUGAGUAACGUCUGGGAAACUGCCCGAUGGAGGGGGAUAACUACUGGAAACGGUAGCUAAUACCGCAUAACGUCGCAAGACCAAAGUGGGGGACCUUCGGGACUCACACCCUCGGAUGUGCCCAGAUGGGAUUAGCUAGUAGGUGGGGUAAUGGCUCACCUAGGCGACGAUCCCUAGCUGGUCUGAGAGGAUGACCAGCCACACUGGAACUGAGACACGGUCCAGACUCCUACGGGAGGCAGCAGUGGGGAAUAUUGCACAAUGGGCGCAAGCCUGAUGCAGCCAUGCCGCGUGUAUGAAGAAGGCCUUCGGGUUGUAAAGUACUUUCAGCGGGGAGGAAGGCGGUGAAGUUAAUAGCUUCACCGAUUGACGUUACCCGCAGAAGAAGCACCGGCUAACUCCGUGCCAGCAGCCGCCGUAA
rnacentral:rRNA from 1 species